rnacentral:rRNA from 1 species
CGCAACCCUUGUCCUUAGUUACCAGCACGUUAUGGUGGGCACUCUAAGGAGACUGCCGGUGACAAACCGGAGGAAGGUGGGGAGUGACGUCAAGUCAUCAUGGCCCUUACGGCCUGGGCUACACACGUGCUACAAUGGUCGGUACAAAGGGUUGCCAAGCCGCGAGGUGGAGCUAAUCCCAUAAAACCGAAUCGUAGUCCGGAUCGCAGUCUGCAACUCGACUGCGUGAAGUCGGAAUCGCUAGUAAUCGUGAAUCAGAAUGUCACGGUGAAUACGUUCCCGGGCCUU